UGGGGAAUUUUGGACAAUGGGGGAAACCCUGAUCCAGCCAUCCCGCGUGUGCGAUGAAGGCCUUCGGGUUGUAAAGCACUUUUGGCAGGGAAGAAACGGCAUUCCAUAAUACGGGGUGUCACUGACGGUACCUGCAGAAUAAGCACCGGCUAACUACGUGCCAGCAGCCGCGGUAAUACGUAGGGUGCAAGCGUUAAUCGGAAUUACUGGGCGUAAAGCGUGCGCAGGCGGUUCGGAAAGAAAGGUGUGAAAUCCCAGAGCUUAACUUUGGAACUGCACUUUUAACUACCGGGCUAGAGUAUGUCAGAGGGGGGUAGAAUUCCACGUGUAGCAGUGAAAUGCGUAGAGAUGUGGAGGAAUACCGAUGGCGAAGGCAGCCCCCUGGGAUGAUACUGACGCUCAUGCACGAAAGCGUGGGGAGCAAACAGG
rnacentral:rRNA from 1 species